GACGAACGCUGGCGGCGUGCUUAACACAUGCAAGUCGAACGGAAAGGCCCCUUCGGGGGUACUCGAGUGGCGAACGGGUGAGUAACACGUGCGUAACCUGCCCUUGACUUCGGGAUAACUUCAGGAAACUGGGGCUAAUACCGGAUAGGAAUCCUUGCUGCAUGGUGGGGGUUGGAAAGCUUCGGCGGUUUUGGAUGGACUCGCGGCUUAUCAGCUUGUUGGUGGGGUAGUGGCUUACCAAGGCUUUGACGGGUAGCCGGCCUGAGAGGGCGACCGGCCACAUUGGGACUGAGAUACGGCCCAGACUCCUACGGGAGGCAGCAGUGGGGAAUAUUGCACAAGGGGCGGAAGCCUGAUGCAGCAACGCCGCGUGCGGGAUGACGGCCUUCGGGUUGUAAACCGCGUUCAGCAGGGGCGAAGCUUGUGGUGACGGUACCUGCAGAAGAAGCACCGGCUAACUACGUG
rnacentral:rRNA from 1 species